rnacentral:snRNA from 1 species
AUCGCUUCUCCACCUCUUGGCUAGGAUCAAGUGUAGCAUCGGUUCUUACCAGUUAAAUAGGUGAUAUGCCCUCUAUCCGAGGACAAUAUAUUAAGUGGGUUUUUGGAUCAGGGAGUGGGAAUAGGAGCUUGCUUUAUUCACUCCACGGACAGACCUUGUCUUUCAGUACUUCCAGGAAUGGUGCACUCCUC